UAGGGAAUCUUCCGCAAUGGGCGAAAGCCUGACGGAGCAACGCCGCGUGAGUGAUGAAGGUCUUCGGAUCGUAAAACUCUGUUAUUAGGGAAGAACAAAUGUGUAAGUAACUAUGCACGUCUUGACGGUACCUAAUCAGAAAGCCACGGCUAACUACGUGCCAGCAGCCGCGGUAAUACGUAGGUGGCAAGCGUUAUCCGGAAUUAUUGGGCGUAAAGCGCGCGUAGGCGGUUUUUUAAGUCUGAUGUGAAAGCCCACGGCUCAACCGUGGAGGGUCAUUGGAAACUGGAAAACUUGAGUGCAGAAGAGGAAAGUGGAAUUCCAUGUGUAGCGGUGAAAUGCGCAGAGAUAUGGAGGAACACCAGUGGCGAAGGCGGCUCACUGGACCAUUACUGACGCUGAGGUGCGAAAGCGUGGGGAGCAAACAGG
rnacentral:rRNA from 1 species